AUUGAACGCUGGCGGCAUGCCUUACACAUGCAAGUCGAACGGCAGCACGGGUGCUUGCACCUGGUGGCGAGUGGCGAACGGGUGAGUAAUACAUCGGAACAUGUCCUGUAGUGGGGGAUAGCCCGGCGAAAGCCGGAUUAAUACCGCAUACGAUCUACGGAUGAAAGCGGGGGACCUUCGGGCCUCGCGCUAUAGGGUUGGCCGAUGGCUGAUUAGCUAGUUGGUGGGGUAAAGGCCUACCAAGGCGACGAUCAGUAGCUGGUCUGAGAGGACGACCAGCCACACGGGGACUGAGACACGGCCCAGACUCCUACGGGAGGCAGCAGUGGGGAAUUUUGGACAAUGGGCGAAAGCCUGAUCCAGCAAUGCCGCGUGUGUGAAGAAGGCCUUCGGGUUGUAAAGCACUUUUGUCCGGAAAGAAAUCCUUGGCCCUAAUACGGUCGGGGGAUGACGGGACCGGAAGAAUAAGCACCGGCGAACUACGG
rnacentral:rRNA from 1 species